UACGAAGGGGGCUAGCGUUGCUCGGAAUCACUGGGCGUAAAGCGCACGUAGGCGGACUCUUAAGUCGGUGGUGAAAUCCUGGAGCUCAACUCCAGAACUGCCUUCGAUACUGGCGAUCUUUGAGUCCGGAAGAGGUGAGUGGAACUCCUAGUGUAGAGGUGGAAUUCGUAGAUAUUAGGAAGAACACCAGUGGCGAAGGCGGCUCACUGGUCCGGUACUGGACGCUGAGGUGGCGAAAAGCGUGGGGAGCAAACAGGG
rnacentral:rRNA from 1 species